rnacentral:misc_RNA from 1 species
UUUCCGUAGGUGAACCUGCGGAAGGAUCAUUAUUGUAUAACCGAGGUGCGAGUGCUGUCGCUGACCCGAAAGGUCGUGAACGCCCGAGUGCCCUCACACACAUCCAUCUCACCCCUAUGUCCACGUCCGCGUGGGUCCUCCUUUGGCUCGUUCGGAGGGGUGCUUACGUUUUCCCACAGACUUUGUAUGCAGUGUAGAAUAUAUUUUUUGUUUUUGCGAACACGCAAUCAAUACAACUUUCAACAACGGAUCUCUUGGCUCUC